CAGGUACUUCCUCCGUUCUAAAUUAUUUGUCUUGGAUUUGUCUAGAUACGGAUGUAUCUAGACUCAUUUUAGUGCUAGAUACCUCCGUAUCUAGACAAAUCUAAGACAAUUAAUUCGGAACGGAGGGAGUACAUG
rfam:Triticum aestivum genome assembly, contig: Triticum_aestivum_CS42_TGACv1_scaffold_291504_4AL